rnacentral:lncRNA from 1 species
CUUUAUUUUAAAAAGUUUUGCUGUUUUACAGUCAGGACAGGGAUUUAUUUUGCCCAUCCUCUUCUGGGGAUGGUAGAUUCACAGGGAGCCGUGUUCUUGCAGUGCAGAGAUUGCCCCUUUAAGCAGAAAGCUGUUUGUCAGCAGCUGAAACUUUGAAGUGUUAGUCAUUGGAGUUUGGCACAUCAGUGGUGCACUGACAGCUGAGGCAUCAGAGGCACUGGGAAGUGGCAGGAAUACUGAUUCCAGCACAACUGCAUAUGGAAAGGGAAUAAGAAAUGCAGCCCAUAGAGAACUGUCAUGGAAGCUGUAUUCUGCCGGACCAAACUUUUAUUAAUGAUGCAGCCACAGGAGCUCAUUAAGCAUCUGCAGACUACUAGGAUUUUACAUAAAGCACAAACAACAGCAAGAUCCAGAUUCUGCUGCUGCUAUGGAUCAGAAAGGUCACAGGAGGCACCCGUGGGCUUAUUUAUGGGUACACAGCCAGCCUGAGCCUGAGCAAGUGCCCAAUGAAAGCCAUAUGGUAGCAAGCAGCCACUCACAGCCCCAUGGCAGCUG